AUUGCUUCUCGGCCUUUUGGCUAAGAUCAAGUGUAGUAUCUGUUCUUAUCAGUUUAAUAUCUGAUACGUCCUCCCCAUUUUAGACUGUGAGUCCGCUGUUGAGUAGGGACCGUCUCUAUAUGUUGCCAACUUGUCCUUCCCAAGCGCUUAGUACAGUGCUCUGCACACAGUAAGCGCUCAAUAAAU